rnacentral:misc_RNA from 1 species
AAAAUAACAUAAUAGUUGGGGAAGCCGCAGAAAGAAAGAAAUAUCAAAUUUUUAGUACCCUUCCCUUCCCAUGUGAUUGGAAAAAGGGAUGAAACAAUAAAACAUAAAAAUUGAAGACGAAUGAGGCAAGAACUAAUACAAUAUUCUGAUCAAAACCCAUAUCUGAAUAGCCAAAUUUGUUCUAGAACACAAUGGAAUAGCAGAAAAAAGGAUUGCUUUGAUCUUCCGUCGGAGUAUUUUGAGCAAUUACCUCGAGAUCUUCGAUUAGAUGUGAUUAGAAUCUGUUUUUUCUUUUUUUUAAUUCUAUAUAAAUUG